CUCUCUCUACUCUCCUCUCUCAUUUUUCUCUCUCUACUCUCUCUCUCUAUACUACUAUAACAAAACAGCGGCUCAGAAGCGAAAAAUUCUAGAAUGCAACGGAUAUAUUAGUGACGUGGCGUAACAAACCAAUCAAAUUAAUCCUUUUAAAAAUAUAUGUCCCAUCAUGAUUGUAAAAAAGUAUUUUUAUUGUAUUUUUGUUUGAAAAGAAGAAAUGUGAUUGGCUUGUUACUGAUGACGUGGUGCAAGUGUGACAGUGUAGAAUUCCUCCUCAGAAGCAGACGA
rnacentral:lncRNA from 1 species